rnacentral:lncRNA from 1 species
UGUCCAGUGAGAAACAAUGUUUAAGGGAAAGAGAGAGUAGCAUGUUGGCAUCUUGAAAUGCAGAUCCAGGGUUUUGUAGCCAAUUCUGCACUGGUACCUAGGCAGCCAAUAGGGACCUUUGGUUCUUAGUCUAAGAUAUUUGAGAUGAGGACUCAUCCUUCUCAUCUUGCUUCUACAAGAACUUUGGACUCUGCUUCUAGUACAGCCAUUUUGCACCAGUUUUUGGAAGGAUCAUGGAACACAGUAAGAGGAGAACAACCCUGUUCUACAAGGAUCAUUUGAAGGAAUUGGGCCCAGGAAGGGAGGAAUAAUAACAUAUGGGGGACAUGAGAACCAUCUUAUAAAAAUUGAAGAUUUGUUUUGAGGAAAAAAAAUUUGACUCCUUUUUCCUAUAGGCAGAAUUUGGAGAAGUAGAGAAGCAGAUUUUAUCUUCAUAUAAGUUAGAGUUUCUGAACAAUUAUGGAAACUUAAAUUUGUGUCCUUGCAUUGAAAAUGUUUUUCUUUUCUUGUAUUAUUUAACUUUUUGCUUAUUUAUAUAUCCUUUCUUCCAUUACACUGAGAGUCUUAAGGGCAAAGACUUCACUGUAUACUUUUCUGUAUACUCCAUUGCUUAGCACAGGGUUCCAUAAAUGUUUAUUGAUUUGAAAAAAAUAAUUGAGCUGACCAAAAUUAAAUGGACUUUUAAGAGUUUAUGGUUUUUCCAUCACUUGAAGGCCUUCUAGUGAAACAUAAAUAACCACUCUUUGGGGAAAUUGUAAAGGGGAAUAUGGUUCAGAAAUGAAUUGGACUAGAUUAAGCUGCUAAAUUCCCUUCUCACUAAGAUUUUACAAAACAUUUGUUGCAUAAAUAGUUAUAUGGGGUAGGCAGGUGGUGCAGAGGAUAGAAUGCCAGGCCUCAAACAGGAAGACCUGAGUUCAAAUAUGGCCUCAAAUACUUAUUAGCUGUACAACCCUGGGCAAAUCACUUAAUCCUUUUUGUCUCAAUUUCCACAUCUGUAAAAGGAGAAGCUAAUGGCAAACCACUCUAAUAUCUUUGCCAAGAAAACUUCAAACGGAGUCACAAAGAGUUGAACAAAGCAGGACUCAACAACAACAAACAAUUUAUGUACUAUAUGUAGAGCACUUUCCUAGAUGUUCUAGAGAAUACAAAAUAUGUGUCCAAACUCCUCAUCGCAAGGAUUUUAUAAUCUAUUAGACUUGGAGUUAGAAGGACCAAUGGACACCAUUUAAUCUAAUCUUUCAUUUUAUAGCUGAAGAACCUGGAACCCAGAGAGGUGAUUUGC